UACAGAGGGGGCAAGCGUUGUUCGGAAUUACUGGGCGUAAAGGGCGCGUAGGCGGCCUGCUAAGUCGAACGUGAAAUCCCUGGGCUCAACCCAGGAACUGCGUCCGAUACUGGCUGGCUUGAAUUCGGGAGAGGGAUGCGGAAUUCCAGGUGUAGCGGUGAAAUGCGUAGAUAUCUGGAGGAACACCGGUGGCGAAGGCGGCAUCCUGGACCGAUAUUGACGCUGAGGCGCGAAAGCCAGGGGAGCAAACGGG
rnacentral:rRNA from 1 species